rnacentral:tRNA from 1 species
GGCGGCGUAGCCAAGUGGUUAAGGCGGGGGUCUGCAAAACCCCUAUUCAGCGGUUCAACUCCGCUCGCCGCCU